rfam:Rattus norvegicus chromosome 9, whole genome shotgun sequence.
GGGAAUUUAGCUCAGUGGUAGAGCGCUUGCCUAGCAAGUGCAAGGACCUAGGUUCAAUCCCCA